GUUCAUGGAAUCAUGAGCACUGGUUAUCUGCUACAUUCAUGUGUGUGUGUGUGUGUGUGUGUCUGUGUGCGCGUGUCCAAACAGGCGUUGCCCAAGCCCGUCGCCAUGGAGCCGUGCUGGGGGAGCAGAGCGGGCGUCCUGACGGUGCUGCUCUAUCUGCCCCGAGUCCCGUCUGGAAUACCUCCGCCAGGACAGUCUGGUAUCGCUAUUGCCAGCGCCCUGGUAGACACGUCGCAGCAGAGAGGCAUGGACUUCAGGGAACGAGGCCUUGGCCUGAAGCACCGCAAAAACAUUGUGCACCACCAAGGAACCUGUGUGUGAAGCCCGGAUUCCAUCCACUACAGCGACGACAGCAGAUGGUCCCGUGGAUUUUUAGACCGAGGGACCCGUUUGCAGACAAAGGCAAAGAACGGCGUUUGGACGUUGUCACAUGGGGAGAGGAGUGAAUACAGCGGAUGUGUGAUCAUUCGAACCUUUCCGAUUCAGAUGGAAAACGUCUUUGUCCACGUGCCCUCCUUGUUUCUUGUGUGUAAAUGUUGGUCAUGAACAGCAUGGCAUGCUGCAGACAGACAGACAUUUGCUGUGAGUGCUGGCGAGCUUUUUACCCGCCUCUCCCGGCCUCCACGUGACUGUCACGCCAUCUGCCACGUUGGCCGAGGGGAAACGGCGGUUUUGCCCCAUUAAACCAAACCAAGUGGCUCUGCGCUGCUGACUGAGCUGAGAUGAAGUCCUCCUGACUUAACCAAACCGACCCAAACCCAUGAGUGACACUGCCAAGGACCGCGCGGACCUGACGCCAUCGACGCACGACACUGUAGUGGGCGGGGCUCUGUGGCGAGGAUCGCCUUGAGGAGGAGGUACGUUACGGGAAUAAAAAAAUAAAAAAAAGACUACUAAUAUUGAGACGAAGAUGAUUGGAUGUAACUAUUGAGAUUUGUCCCUGAAAUACACAUUGAUUUUCUUUUUUUUUUCGCCACCGUUUGAUGUUUUUUCGAUACCUGCUCAGGUGGAAAAGGGUCCAUGGUCCCUCACACAUGUCUGUAUAUGCACUAUAAGUGAAAUGCUUUACCAGUACAUUAGGACCCACUGGGGGGGGAUAAUAUUAUGCAAGUAUUCAUCCAAAUGUUUAUUCUGGGCUGCAAUGUAACCUCAAGGUCGGCAUCAUGAAACACACACUAUUGCUGGUAUUUAUAUGCCUGUCAAUUCAGUUUUUACUGUGAAGAUACAUCCUCUCGUGACCUGAAUUUCAUGCCUGUUUACUUUUAAUGCAAACUUUUAUGUAACAUAAUUAUGUAAAAUGUAUAAAUUAUGCAAAUUACAGUUAAACAAUGGUUUUACAAAUGCACUAAGGUUUGGUUUGAUGGGUUUUUUUAAAACGAGAAGAUUAAACAGUAGAUGUUACAAAG